UACAUUGGGUGUGACAAGAGAAUUUGUGUAUUAUAGAUGUCUGGCUAGAGAAUAAAGCAAAUAAUCAGACAUUUUAUGCCACCUUCAUCUUCCCACCUCCUCCGGAAAUGCGCCGCCGCGACCUCCCUCCGAGAAGCCCGGCGCCUCCACGCCCUCCUUCUCACCACCGCACACCCACCAACGCAAACCCCCCUAUUCCUACACAACAACAUCCUCUCAAUGUACGCUCGCUGCGGAUCUUUCGCGGACUCCCACCUCCUGUUCGACAAAAUGCCUCGAAGAAACGUCGUCUCUUACAACACCCUGAUCGCCGCCUACUCUCGUAGACCUCAUCACGCCCAUUUGGCGUUUCAGCUGCUUGAUCAAUUAGCGCACGAGAGCCACGUGCCGAAUGGGUCCACCAUCACUAGUCUUUUGCAGGCUUCGGCUGCGGUUGGCGACGUGGUUCUUGGCUCUUCAUUGCAUGCUCAUUGCGCCAAAACUGGAUUAUUGGAUAAUAUACGCGUUCAGACAUCGUUGCUUGGGAUGUAUUCGAAUUGUGGGGUUGUCGAUUGUGCUAAGAAAGUCUUCACCGCAAUGAAGGAUAAAGAUUGCAUAGCUUGGACCUCGAUUAUAUCGGGCUAUGUGAAGAAUGGGAAGAUAUUGGAGAGUCUUGAACUCUUACAGAAUAUGUUAGAGGAUGAUGUUCAACCAAAUUCAUUCACAUACUCAUUGGUGUUGAAUGCUUGUGCCAAGUUGCAAGAUUAUGAAAGCGGGAAAUGUGUUCAUGCUCAAAUUCUUUUAUCUGGCACAUGUGUUGAUUUACCUCUGCAUAACACAAUGCUGGAUAUGUAUUGUAGCUGUGGCGACACGCGUUCAGCUUUUGAUGUCUUUCUGAGAAUCGGGAGUCCUGAUUUGGUUUCUUGGAACUCAAUGAUUGGUGGAUUUGCAGAGAAUGGAGAUGGAGAGAAGGCGAUGGAGAUGUUUGUUCAACUGAGGCAAGCGUGCUCUGUGAAACCCGAUGAGUAUACUUUUGCAGCGGUUAUUGGUGGUACUUGCAGUUUCCCUGCUUGCGACUAUGGAAGGCCGCUUCAUGCUCAAACUGAGAAAGCGGGGCUUAUGAGUAGUGCAUAUAUUGGGAGCUCACUCUUGUCCAUGUACUUCAGUAAUGAUGAUUCAGCGUCAGGUCAUAAGAUUUUCAGCUCUUUUGAACAUAAAGAUGCUGUUCUUUGGACUGACAUGAUCGCUGGGCAUGUUAGAAAAGGUGAGAGCGAGGGUGCGCUGAGUCUAUUCCAUGAAAUACUGAAGGAAGGUUUUUCUCUAGACAGUUUCAUUCUUAGUAGUGUCUUGGCUGCGUGUGCUGAUCUUGUGACUUUAAGACAAGGGGAAAUGAUCCAUUCUCUGGUGUUGAAAACUGGAAAUGAUGCUGAAGUUUGUGUGCACAGCAGUCUGGUUGAUAUGUAUGCUAAAAACGGGGAGCUCAGCUCUGCUGCAUAUACAUUUUCUUGCCUGCCUAAAUGCGAUUUGAUGUGCUGGAACUCGAUGCUUACUGGAUACGGUCACCAUGGGAAGGCAAAGAAGGCGUUUCAAGUCUACUUCAAGAUGCUGAAGCAUGGCCUGAACCCAGAUCAGGUCACAUUCCUUUCUCUUCUAGCUGCUUGUAACCAUUGUGGCUUGGUAGACGAAUCUAGAUUCUUCUGGAGGAAUAUGAAGGAGCGCCAUUUCAGACCGGGGCCUAAGCACUAUUCGUGCAUCAUCAGCUUGUUGAGCCGAGCUGGGCUGUGGGAGGAGGCCGAGGAGAUGAUUGCUGAAUCACCUUUUGCAGAUGAUUACAUGGAGUCGUGGAGAAGUGUUCUGAGCUCGUGCAUCAAGAACGGGAAUCUGAGAGAGGGCAUCCAUGCUGCGGAACAGAUCUUGAACGCGAAUGCAGAAGACAGUGCAGCGAGUGUACUGCUUACUAAGUUGUAUGCUGCAGCAGGGAGGUGGGGCGAUGUUGUGGAGACCAGGAGAAAGAUGAGGAAGUCGAUGCUAGAGAAAGACCCCGGCUUGAGCUGGAUUGAAGUUCGGAAUAGUGUUCGUGUGUUCUCUUCUGGGGAGAAAUCACAGUUGCAACUCGGUGAAGUUGAGGAUGAGUCGAGUAAUCUGCUGGGGAACAUGAUGUUAACCGUAGCUGACGAAAUAAGACAACGGAUAUUCGUUGAGCAAAUAGAAGGAUAGAUUUGACUGAAGAGAAUGAGGAUUGGUAAUGAAGGAAUGAAAUACAAAUAGAAGGGAUUAUGUAUUAGACGCAAUGCGAUUUUUGGGAUCCUGAGUGAAUGAAAUAGAGAAAACCUGAAACUGAGAAGCGGGAAAGGCAUAAAAUUCAGAAUCCCAAUGAAACAAGUUUCUGAGCUCAACUUGGAAAUAUACAUGUUAAGUCAAGACAAAUAAGAUGGAUAGUAACAGUGGUGGUUCAUAAAUUAAUCAACCUUCUAAAUAUAGCAAUCUUGCCCUAAAGGAUAGAUUUCUAUAGACUUACUUGCUUUUGCUAGACUGCUGCUGUGUUAUUUGCAACUGCUUUGCGCUUCUUCUUUUUAAUUGUAUACCUGGCUCCCUUAAGCUGCUCUUUCUAAUGCUUAUGUAGGUGGAAAGUAUUCAUCAGUACAUUAAAUCUAUGAGAACAGCAUAUCUUGCUGACCAACGCCAUCGAGGAGAUGAGAAUAUAGGAGGGAAACAGCGAAACAGGAGGCUGCGGCUCGAAGGGUUCAUCCAAUUAUACAUUUAUCUAAUGUUCCGCAACCAUCUGGUCAAGCUACUGGACUCUUAGCCUUGUCAGCAGCAACAGGAGCAUCGGCUUCGACAAACCCGUCAAGCUCCACUACUGUACCAGCAUCAAGUGGAAGUGGAUCUCUGUUCUUUUCUACUCCUGCUGUUGCCUCAUCAACACCCUCUUUGUUCUCAACCCCCACCAGUUCAGCUCCAUUCUCAUCUUUGUUAGGAACUGCUGCUUCACAGUAAUCACCUUUUAGUUCCUUGGCUGCUUCAUCAUCUGCAUUUGGUAUUUCCACUCCCAUUAGUUCAAUCCCUGCUGGAGCCUCAACAUUUUCAACACCUUUUGCUACAGUGAUGGAACAUUUUAUCUCUGGGAGACAAACACUUGGCCAUUUGAACCAUGGUCCUCAAAGAAUGGGUUUGUCACGGUUCGUGGAUAACCUGGUUUCUAAACUAGUGAUAAUUUAUCAGUUUUAUCUAUUCACAGAAUUCAUGUGUUUGUGCAGCUUCUUGUCUGCCCCCACCCCCACUUUGCCCCCCUUUUAAGCAUUUCUUUUAUGGAAAGCCUUGUACUCAGGUGACUGAUGUUCAAAGUCUGGGGAGCAACAUGGGUCCAAAUGGCUGUAUGGUACUUCUUUCUUUUUCGGAGUCAUCACCAUUAUGUUCCAUUCACUUUACAUCCAAACCUCCGUCGCUAGAUGCACAUCUUAUACCAGUUGAAUUGCCAGAGAUAAAAUUGUUGACCGACAGUUUUGCAGGUUAUAUGAUCGAUGCUAGCUUGGAUAUAAAGUGGAAAAAUGCCUUAUAUAGUUGUUCAAGAACUUAUUGGUAGACAAAUUUUGAAACUUUGUUAUAUUUUAAUGAUGUUAAAUUCAUGUUUAAAACAUGUUUCAUGACAUUUUAGAUUAUUGUAAAUUUGUAAUGAAUGUUGAUUAUGGUAAUGCGUAAUUUUGACAUACUUUGUAUAUUAUUUA